GACGAACGCUGGCGGCGUGCUUAACACAUGCAAGUCGAACGGAGUGGCGAACGGGUGAGUCACACGUGGGUGAUCUGCCUUGAACUCUGGGAUAAGUUUGGGAAACUGGGUCUAAUACCGGAUAGUGCAAGAUUAGCUCGCGGCCUAUCGGCUUGUUGGGGGGGUAAUGGCCUACACAGGCGUCGACGGGUAGCCGGCCUGUGAGGGUGUACGGCGACAUUGGGUCGGAGAGGCGGCCCCGACUCGUAAUGGAGGCAGCUGUGGGGAAUAUUGCACAAGGGGCGGAGGCCGGAUGCAGCGACGCCGCGGGGGGGAUGACGGCCUUAGUGUGGUAAACUCCUUUCGACAGGGACGCGGUACCUGUAUAAGAAGCACCGGCUAACUACGUGCCAGCCGCCGCGGUAAUAC
rnacentral:rRNA from 1 species